AAUUCCAUGGGAACGGCUCUGGUAUUGGGAAGCUUACUACAUUUCCACAGAGUUCUUCCUUCUGGUUUUAUGUAACUUCAAACUACUGAUUUUAGUUUUGUUCUCCAGAAUGAGCUGAUUCACAAGUCACUUCAGAGCUGUUAGGUUGGUGGCCAAUUGACAAUAGAAAUUGCUGUCAUUUUCUCCUUUCGGAGAUAUAAUAUCUUGGAUGAUAUCAAAAAGGCUGAUUUCUAGAAACGAAGUCCCAGAUAGAGUAAUCAAGAUGUUUGAGUAAAAGUGCCCUGAGAAUGAAAGCCAAUAUUCCACCUCUUUCGCGUCCUUGCUUCGAAGAUGACAAAGAAAAGAAGGAACAACGGUCUGUGCCAAAAAGGGUCGUGGCCAUGUGCAACCUAUUCGCUGCACGAACUGCGCCCGAUGCGUUCCCAAAGACAAAGCUAUAAAGAAGUUCUUCAUUCGGAACAUAGUGGAGGCCGCGGCUGUGAGGGAUGUUUCUGAAGCAAGUGUCUUCGACGCUUAUGUGCUUCCCAAGCUCUAUGUGAAGCUACAUGACUGUAUGAGUUGUGCCAUUCACAGCAAGGUAGUCAGGAACCGUUCUCGGGAAGCCCGCAAGGACCGAACACCUCCACCCAGAUUUAGACCCGCGGGUGCUGCCCCAAGACCUCCACCAAAGCCCAUGUAAGGAGUUGAGUUCUUGAGGACUGAAGAAUAACUAUUCUUUGGGAAAAAAAUAAAAUGGAAAUUAUACUUAA